UUCACUAUUCAUUUGUGGAAAAUUUGUAAAGUGAAUAGUGCUUUCUUUUGUUUAUAUAAAGGAAGAAGAUGAGAUGAAGUGAGGAGGGUUCACGGGAGAGAAAAGGAAAAGGAAGAAAGGAAGAGAGAGAGAGAGGAAAGAAGAGGAAGAGAGGAAGAAGAGGAAGAUGAGGGGGAGAUAAUAAAGAGAGUUAUCUUUGUACUCCUAUUAUUUCAAAUUAUAAUGAAAGCACCACUGCUGCCCCGAGGACGUACUCCAGUCACACUGACUGUAGAGGAACCUCGUAAAUUUUGUGUCUUGUUUCAUUUAUUCCACUGCACCCACAGUCGAUUUUACAACACGUUAUCAGCACGAGAAGCUCUCAUGUCAGUGGAAAGCACAACGCCACAAAUCCUGUUCACCUCCUUCAGCUGGAAUCUCACAGAUAAGAAACAAUUUUCAUUUCAUCUUCAAAUCUCAGUACAAUUGAUUUUCUUGAAGCAACUAUAUAUAUUGUUGUAUGACUGUAUAUCAUCCUUUGCAGAAGCAAAAGAGUACAUACUCAAAAUUCAUAAAGAAUUUGACAGCCAUGUAAACAGCCUCUGAACUCCAACUUGCGGACCUCGGAUUAAAAUACUUUCUUCUUGAAAGUUGUUCGUCCACUCAGUAUUUACAACAUAUCAAAAUUUCAGAAACUUUAACGGUGCGAUCGUUGCAGAUGUCUGAAAUACUAAACCAGUUUCCAAUUUCCGCAGAAAACUGGACAGCCACCUUAUGAGUACCAUAACUCUAUUUCUGUAGCUCAAAUCGAAAUUGUUUCUUCACGAAAGUUGUUUGGUAUCCUCUUAUCCAUAUCAUACUAAAAUUUGAACUAAAUCUAACGGUUUGAUCUUCUCAUAAGUUGCAGACACUCUUGACUCCAAAACUUAUGGGAACCGUUUCGACUUUUUCGAAACUCACCGGAGGAGGAACACCAAUUGGAACUUAUUGUUACUUUUACUUCCUGAGUAACUAAAAGGACUUGUUGUUGUGAAAUGAAAACAUUAAUAAAAUAAGGACAAUUUGGAUGGGUGCCCCGACAGAAGUGAAGGGAAGAAAUAAUAAAAAAUAAUAAUAAAGUUGAUAGUGGGAAGUUGAUGAGACCAUCACCAUUAUGAAAAGAAAUAAUAAAAUUAUAUAUUUAUUUAUGUGCAUGGUGUUGGUUUAAAGCCCAUGUCACAAGUUCUAUUUAUUUAAAGCAAUUUAUUUAUAGUGGGUAGAAUUAUUACCCUUUGCUUUAAAGCUUUGAUAUUUAUGUGAAUGGUGCUGAAUCAAAGCCCUUGUCACAAGCUUUAUUUACUUUAAAGCAAUUUAUUUACCAUGGACGGUUUUACCGCCUAUUGCUUUAAGUUUUGAUGGUGCUGAAUUAAAGCCCCUGUCACAAACUUUAUUUACUUAAAUGCAAUUUAUUCAUUAUGGCUGGAAUUACCGUCUAUUGCUUUAAUUUAUUUAUUGUACUUAUCUUUUGUUACAAUGAGUAUAUAUAGGAUCUAAAGUUCAUUGAUCAGAUCAGAACCUGCAGUUUCUUGAUCCUCAUCAUAUAAAAAUGAUUGGACCUGAAGUUCCAUCACGCAAAAAGAUUAGGUAUGAAGUCCCUUGAUCCUGAAGAUCAAGACAUGAAGUUCCUAGAUGAGUACCGUAAGUUUGAAGUGCCGCAGUGCCUUAACUUAAUUGUAAUAAAAGCCAUAAGAGUCUCAGUUUACAGACUAUUAAAUAAGGACAAGAAGUUCCUUAUGUCCAUACUCAAAAUGGUUUAGCAGAAGCCUUUAUUAAGCGAAUGAAAUUGAUUUCCCGCGCUCUGCUCAUGAAAACGAAAUUGCCAAUUUUCUACAUGGGAACAUGUAAACUUUACAUGAUGCAUUAUUAAUUCGGUUGAGACAUGUUACCAACCAUCAAUACUUCUUAGUACAACUCAUGUUUGGGAACCAGCCAAGCAUUAUACAUCUACGAGUUUUUGGUUGUGUUAUCUAUGUGCCUAUUACACUGCCACAACGUACUGAAAUGAGACAUCAUCGCUGAUUGGGUAUUGAUGUUGAACACUAUCUAUCAUUCAAUAUUUGGAACCCUUGACUGGGGAUAUGUCUACCGCAUGAUUUACGGACUAUGAUUUUGAUAAGACAGUUUUCCCGCCAUUAGGGGGAGAAAAUAACAUCGUUCCAGAAGAACGAUGAGAAAAUAUCAUUCCAGAAGAAUGAUGAGAAACGACCGUUCCAGAAGAACGAAGAUAAUUUGUCUUAUUCACGAAACAAACAAUGAGAAAAUGAAAUUGAAAUAAUUGAAUGAUGCAACGAAAGUGAUGAAAUCACAUAUACUUACUGCAAAUGUGCCUAUAAGAAUUGAUGUCCCUGUUGGACAAAAUAAUGAGACAGUAAAUGAUUUAUCUAUUGCACGCCUGAAGCGUGGCAGAUUUUUAGACUCAAAAGGUUCAGUUAUUCGAAAGAAGAAUAAUAUGGCACUACUGAACUAUUGCAUUCCCGAAGCAUAACUGUUGCAUGCCAGAAGCAUGACAGUCGCCGCAUGGAUACACGUCCCAGAUAGGACAAUCCACAGACAUAGGAAUAUUGAUGUCUCAUGCAUGUAGCAUGAUAGACGUAUAGGUUCCAAAGACUCAACUCCCGGAAGUGGAGAUUAAAAUCCAAGCUCUAUAAUGCUCAAGAGGAGGUUAUGAUCCACAUUCUCUAAAUUAUGACUAUCCUGGAAGAGAUAGCGUCAUGCCCUUGAAGAGGCAAUGGAUAUCCAAAGAAAUGAAAAGUUUUUAUGCAUGCGCGUGCACAUGAGAAUAUGGGAUCACGGAUUGAUGAUAACCAAUGGUAAUUUUGGUUUUUACAAGUAGCUACUAAAUUCAUCAAUGAGCUGUGUUAAUAUUGAGUCACGUUCUUUUGUUCGUCGACAAAAGAAAAAUUAUUGGCCAAAAUGGAGAAAGGCAAUUCCAUUACAAUUUUGUAAGAACGUGGGCAAAUGAACUAUAUAUAUUUGAAUACAAUACAAAUAGCCAAAAGAUGUUGAACCAAGGAGGUUACAUAUCGGCAUUUGUAAUACACUCACAUAAUAUGACACAAGGUUACUAAUUGAAACCUGAAAUUAUACUCUUGUAAACGAGUUCAUAUAAAUGGAGAAUAAUAUACGAAGGGUUGUGAGUCGCCCACAUCAUAUCUCCAUAAGUAAAUCCCUCAAGUAUACAUGGGAGCAAAUUGCUCUGUAUAAAUUCCAAAGGAAAAUGUGUCAUGAAGUGUAGAAAAUCCUUGAAGGAUUCAAAUUGCUUGAAGUAAGCCCCUGAAGGGUAAAGCAUAAAAUAUAUACUCAAUAUCAAUGGAUGAUAUAAAUUGCCUUAGUGAGUACUAUCAUUAUGAUAUUGUUGCAACAUACUAAAAUCUCUUGCAAGAGUCAAUGACAUUAAAUUAGAACUCUUGAAGAGUUGAUGAUAUUAAAUUGGGACUCCUGAAGAGUCUAGAAAAAUUAUAAAGUGUUGAAGGAAUUAUUGUCUCGAGCUGCAGAUUGAACAAUCUACCAACACGAACCUUAUCCAUGAUAUUUAUGAUAUUAAAAGAACCAUAUGGAUUGAAGAUUAUGAGUUGAAUGCUCAUAUGAUGAAGACACUAAGAAUAAUCAUUUAUCUUCGUGAGGGUAAAGAUAAAUUAAUACUUGGUCCAGAAGUACCACAUCUUAGUGAAGUAUAUGCUUUAUUGUAUUUGGCACAAUACAUUGAAUGAAAUAAAGCUUAUUUAUUAAUAUCUCCAAGAAAUUACAGAUAUGUACAUACACAUGAGUUAAAACAAACAAACAGGAUGGAGCCUUCACAAAGGUUGCUCAUGUGAAGCCUCAGUACUCGGAAGUACCCCAGAAGGGGGAGGCACUGGAGAUUGAUCAUGUGGCACCCCAGUACUUAGCAAAACACCAGAAGGGGAAGGCAUCAGUUGCUUUCGGAAUCUAGCAACGAACCUCUGGUGAUCACUUUGAAUCCGACUUUCAGAUUCCUGCAGUUGGUCGAGCUUUCUUUUCAUGCUCGUAGAGUAACUAUUUGCAAGCACGUGUAACACCCUAUUCUCGUGCUUGAGCCCUCUGAUCUCUUGUUUAAGACUUGCCAUCUCCGCCAUCAAUGAUUUAACUUCGUGAGUUUGAGCAAGUAGGCGUUGGCCCAUAUUGGAAACAGAGCCAGCACACUGAACACUGAGAGCCAAGGAGUCUUGAACGGCCGACUCUUCAGACCGUUCUGAAAGGAUCUUGUUAUCCCUUGGAGUGAGAAGAUUCCUAGCUACCACAGUAGCGGUUAUGUUAUUCUUCAUCACAGAGUCCCCAACCGUAAGAGGACCAUUAGAAGAUAAGAAGGACGGGCGCCAUAUAUUAUCAUGACGCUGCUCGUCUGUAUCACUCCUAAGACUCAAAUCUAAGCAAAUGUUAGAUGGGCAAGUCAUUUUUCAGAAAUGAUGAAGGAAAAACAGAGGUCAAAUAAAAUUUCAGAAGUGCAAGAAGGUGGAAAUUUCUCAGGCAGCAACUUUCUGAGCAUACUCUUGAACGCAAUUGAUGUCUCUAUAAAAGAAGAUGCAACAAAGCCGCUUGUUCAAAGAUCGAAGCGACACGGCUCUCCGAAUUUCAAAAAGCCAGAUUUUCCUGAAUAAAGUUCGUUGGCAGUUUUCAGACGUAAUCCCAGCUUUUCAGAUGUCGCGUGCAAUUUUGUCAAAGAUCUCUGACAAAGUUGAAAACGCGUAAAUCUUACUGUUCUAUUUACACCACAGUUGCUGACAAGAGUAAAAGCACAGCACCACUACUUGCUAUUGAGAAAUCUCUAUAUAUGUCGACCUCUGUCUCCAUAACAAGGCAAACCUGCAACACUGCAAGAAUACCUAACUCUUCCUCAUCUCCGAGAAUGCAUCUUCAACAUAGCAUCUCGAAAUACUCAGUUUUCUUCCUCUCCGAAAAUACCUCUUCAAACAUGUCACACCAGAGCAAGAUUAUCACAUAUCUUCAGGGACCAGAGCAAGAUUAUCUCAUAUCAUGCAAUCUCCCUGUCAUUUCCUUUGUCCUUGUUCUUGCCUGCAAAGACAAAGAUCAAGAAAGCAAUAUGUCGGAACCUCCACUCAAACUCCCGGUAAGGAACCGACUGCCUGGAACCUUUCCUGAUUGCUUACCUAGUAUUGCUCUCGAGUAGUCAUCUUCAACGGUUGGAGCUGGGUCUCCAGUCACUAAGAAGUGAUGAACCAUUCAAAUGCAAGGGUUUGCAUUCGUCUCCUGCAUCAGGGGACAAAUCCUACAAGAGAAGAUGCCACACAUGUAGGGGAAAAACAGGGAAAAUACCACUUAAGCAAGGGGAGCAAGUAAGACAAGUGAAAAUGAUACAUUGAAGCAUGUGGAGACAAGCAUAACAAACACGUGCUGAUUCAUCCCCGACAAAACCGAAGAUCAUUUGCCACAUGAAGCUCUUAACGGUACAAUUUCAUGUAAGAUCAAGCCUCGAAGUCCUUGAAGAAAUCACAAGUCUGAUUCAAGAUCAAGUGUCCACCACUUUUGAAUCAAAUUCCGCUCCAGAGCAAAGGAGUAAAUUCAGACCUUUGGAUGCAAGUCUAGCAGAAAGUCCUCUAGCCCAGUUCAAGAAAAAGCCUGUGGAAAGUUAACAACAAGUAAAGCAAAUCUUUCAGCAACUCUUCUUACUAAGAGACUAAAGCAGAACAAUCAACGAUCAACCUAAAUGAUUUGAAAUCAGUAGGAGAUACUCAUCAGGGGGAGCAUCCAAGACAGAUCAAGAUUUUAACGAGUCAAUCGAAGACUUGUGGCCAUCCAAGGGGGAGUGUUGUAAAUAUUAUGUGGAUGGUCCACAUGAAUAGUUUGUUACUAUUUAUGCACAGUAUUUUCACUAUUCAUUUGUGGAAAAUUUGUAAAGUGAAUAGUGCUUUCUUUUGUUUAUAUAAAGGAAGAAGAUGAGAUGAAGUGAGGAGGGUUCACGGGAGAGAAAAGGAAAAGGAAGAAAGGAAGAGAGAGAGAGGAAAGAAGAGGAAGAGAGGAAAAAGAGGAAGAUGAGGGGGAGAUAAUAAAGAGAGUUAUCUUUGUACUCCUAUUAUUUCAAAUUAUAAUGAAAGCACCACUGCUGCCCCGAGGACGUACUCCAGUCACACUGACUGUAGAGGAACCUCGUAAAUUUUGUGUCUUGUUUCAUUUAUUCCACUGCACCCACAAUCGAUUUUACAACA
rnacentral:lncRNA from 1 species